GUAGCUUGCUACUUUACCUAGCGGCGGACGGGUGAGUAAUGCUUAGGAAUCUGCCUAUUAGUGGGGGACAACAUCUCGAAAGGGAUGCUAAUACCGCAUACGUCCUACGGGAGAAAGCAGGGGACCUUCGGGCCUUGCGCUAAUAGAUGAGCCUAAGUCGGAUUAGCUAGUUGGUGGGGUAAAGGCCUACCAAGGCGACGAUCUGUAGCGGGUCUGAGAGGAUGAUCCGCCACACUGGGACUGAGACACGGCCCAGACUCCUACGGGAGGCAGCAGUGGGGAAUAUUGGACAAUGGGGGGAACCCUGAUCCAGCCAUGCCGCGUGUGUGAAGAAGGCCUUUUGGUUGUAAAGCACUUUAAGCGAGGAGGAGGCUACCGAGAUUAAUACUCUUGGAUAGUGGACGUUACUCGCAGAAUAAGCACCGGCUAACUCUGUGCCAGCAGCCGCGGUAAUACAGAGGGUGCAAGCGUUAAUCGGAUUUACUGGGCGUAAAGCGCGCGUAGGUGGCCAAUUAAGUCAAAUGUGAAAUCCCCGAGCUUAACUUGGGAAUUGCAUUCGAUACUGGUUGGCUAGAGUAUGGGAGAGGAUGGUAGAAUUCCAGGUGUAGCGGUGAAAUGCGUAGAGAUCUGGAGGAAUACCGAUGGCGAAGGCAGCCAUCUGGCCUAAUACUGACACUGAGGUGCGAAAGCAUGGGGAGCAAACAGGAU
rnacentral:rRNA from 1 species